rnacentral:lncRNA from 10 species
AUGAUGACAAUGGGAUAAUGGGUCAAGGCAGUUGAAGACAACGAAGCAAGCGAUAAUUUUAAGCUGGGCUAGGGGAUAAAUGAGGACUGAAGAGUGAAGAAAGACUUAAAACCUCCCAAGACCAAUGCCUUGAGAGAGUAAAAAGAUAUGAAGUGGUAAACAGAAUGAGCCAAGUUGAGAACCACUGGCUUCUUACUGAGUAUCUAAAACCUCCUAAGUUUGGGGCAGGGUGUAUUAAUCAGUCCUAGUUCAUCUGUUCUGGGUCCUUUAAUCCAUACCUCACAAUCAGAGAGGCAUGUUCACAUAUGGCUUGACUAUCCUCAGAGACAUUUUGUUCCUGUAAGAGUUCCCUAUUAUGUUUAAACUGUAGUUCAGAUUCCUUAUCCACUGGGACCUACUGAAUCUACAUUUACCAUUUUAAAACCCUGAGCUUUGUAUUUCAGGUAAUUCAAAUUCCUUCCCAUUGAGCUAUGGCUGAGGCCCUAGAUUUUACGUUUAUUUGAGCCAGUACAUUGCUGUUUUGCUCAAACCUAAGAAACCAUGGCUGUUAGUUUUAAAGUUCUUGGUAGAUCUCUGCUAUAUUCUAACAAUGGAUUUAAACUAUACCCUAGAACAAAUGAACUUAACAGAUAUUGACAGAACAUCUACCCAACAACCACAGAAUAUACACUCUGUUCAUCAGCACAAGGAACUUUCUCCAAAAUAGACCAUAUGAUAGGCCACAAAGGAAGUCUUAAUAAAUUUAAGAAAUUUGAAAUUAUAUCAAGUACUCUCUCAGACCACAGUGGAAUAAAAUUGGAAAUCAACUCCAAAAGGAACCUUCAAAACCAUGCAAACACAUGGAAAUUAAAUAACCUGCCUCUGAAUGAUCAUUGGGUCAACAAUGAAAUCAAAUGGAAAUUUAAAAGAUAUUUGAACUGAAUGAUAAUAAUGAUACAGCCUAUCAAAACCUCUGGCAAUGCUAAGAGGAAAGUUCAUAGCCUUAAGUGUCUACAUCAAAAAGUCUGAAAGGGUGUUCUUGGGUGGAAUUCACUUCGUAGAGGCCCCAUAAUCAGCAUCCUAAUGUUUUAGGCUGGUGGAGCAGUAAAGGAGAGACAGUCAACAACGGAACUAUCACAGAUCUAUGCUGAUCCUUGUUCUCUUCUUCCUAGCUUCUUACAAACUAUACUGUCUAUGCCAUUGUGCUAAUAUUUUAUUACCACCAGCCAGAACAGGAUGCAGGCCCCUCCCAUGCAACACUCUCCCGGAUUGCCUCCCGGUGCUAUCUCCCCAUAAAGUCCAUCCCCGAGGGAGGAAUCUGAGGAGAGGAAGGGGGUGAAGUGGGUAUCCAGGUUCUAGACCUGUAUUUCAGUCACUGUAUGUAUUGACAAUACUGGAAAUAUACUUCAAAGCUAAACUGGAAUUAUCUAUUAGCAGUUGUUUUUCAUUAACCACAGCUAUCUGCUUCUUGUUAGCAAAACCAAAGCCAAGCUCUUGAACAGCUGCUUCAUAUUCCCGCACAAUUUUUAGGGCAAAUGUCCAUAAAUCAUUAUGCAAAUUUGCUGACUGUGACUAGUUAAUAUAAUGGCUUUCAGUUGAAUAUACUGAAUUCCAUGUUUCAGGAAUUUUUCAGGCAGGUAUAUCAAUAUCUCAUCCAGAAGAAUGUUCUGCAGGCAUUACUAGGAAGACCUCAUCAUGUGGAGAA